UUAAAGGCACAUUUUGAGACUGGAUUCCAGGAUUACAGGACACCUUUUAGUUCCAGUGGAGGAGGCAGUGUAUUGUAGUGUAUGUGGCACGACAGAGAGUGCGAGGUACUUAACAAGGGUGAAGUGCGUCUGACUUCAUGCAAGGCCGAAGUCCACCAAAGAUCUACAACCAACAGAGGAUAAUCUUAAUGGUAACAGUGGAACAACUGGAAUAACUGUGGAAACUCUACAGUGCGAGAGAAAAACAACCCGCUGAUGGAGUACGCAAAGACGAGCACGGCACUGAUGUCCAAAG